rnacentral:lncRNA from 1 species
UGUUGACAUUUGCCACAACAAAGACCAAAAGGUCCAGUACAAGGAGGCCAAGAGCCAGGGCAUCUACCCAAGGCUGCUAGUCAAGCUAUACAGGUUUCUGCCAGAUAAACCAACUCUACCUUCAAUCAGGUUAUGAUGAAAAUGUUAUUUAUGUGUUGCAAUAACCAGCCACCUGUGUCCCUGUCCUAGGUGAUCUGAAAGAUGAAACUUCCUAGCCAAAAGAACAAAACAGCUGUGGUUGUAGAGAUAGUCACAGACAAUGUGUGGAUUUUGGAAGUACCCACACUGAAGGUGUGGACACAGUAGGUGAGCAACAGGGUGAGGAGCAAGCAGAUGCUGCAUCCGCAAGGCUCAGGGGUAAGAGCCUCCUCAGCUUUGACCAACUAGCCCUGGAGUCUCCCAAGGGCCAUGGAGCCAUAGUCAUUGUAGGGCCUUUAAAAGAGCCAAGAGGUGUAUCAACAUUUUGGCAAGGGUCCAGGAACCUCAAAACCCCACACCACACCCUAUGUUCUCUCUACAGGACAGAAGAUUGAGUAUGCCAGAGGCAGAAGAGCUAGCUGGGACUUCAAAA